rnacentral:rRNA from 1 species
GUCUGCGACCAUACCACCCUGACCAUGCCCCAUCUCGUCUGAUCUCGGAAGCUCAGCAGGGUCAGGCCUGGUUAGUACGUGGAUGGAAUACACAGGAGAAAAGAGUAACAAGUC